rnacentral:lncRNA from 1 species
GCUAGCUAAAUUGAUAUCACAGGUAGAAUGGAGCCAGACUGGCAUUAAUUUCAUUGUAGAUAGUAACUACUACCCCUGGAUAAGGAAGGAAGAUGCAAGUAAUCCCUCCCCUGAGGAGGAUGACACUUCAUUCACUAUGAAGAGGUUCUAUGUAUCACUUGGCCAGGCUACAAUUUCUCAGACAAUGGAUUGGUUUACAUUAGCAAAAGGAAGUGAAUCCAUGAAAACUACAGAUUCAUUUCUGCGUCCUGUAGCUUCUAUUCAAAUUCAAGAUAUUCAGCAUUUGCCUGGUCUGCCUGAAAGAGAAGGUUCAGUAAGUGAAAAAGCUAGCCUUCUAGGUAAGCAACAGGGGCUCAGCAAUAGUAUUUGUAACAUAAGUCUGACUAGAUGGAAAUAUGAGGCAUUGUAAUGAAUUGCUGCAGAUUCCACUUGCUACUUUCUAAAUAUCGCAUGGUAUCACAGGCUUCAGAUGGGGAAAAAAUUGAUUUAUUUUCUUACACUUAUGUUUCCUUUUUUUUUUUUUUUUUUGAGAUUAUUUUAAAGCUCUUCUCUAUUAGUCUGACACAAUGCAUGUACUCAGGGGUUUUAGCAUCCUCCGCUCUAACAAAUGACUGAAUAUACCCAUGUGUUUGCCUUAGUGAUAGAAUAGGAUAUGAAGGCCUAAAUCUUACUUUAAGAAAAGCAAGAAAAUUAAACUUAUCCUGUAGUUUAAAUGUUGGAUUGAUGUGAAGAUAUUGUAAGGCCACAGAUGAAUUAUGUCUUUUUUUUUUCACUUUGAUUCUGUUGAUGUUCAAAAUAUUUGCAGCUAUUCUGCUCAGUUUUAUAGAGCUGACCUAUACAGUGAUAGCAGCAGCAACCUGCUUAAAUAGUGCAUAUAUUCAAGGUAAUCUCUACUAACGUACUCCAGAGGUGCUCAAUUUAUUUAAAGAUUUUCAGAACUUGAAAAGGUACUUGAGCAAGUCAAAGCUGAAAGAUUUUUUGUCUCAGCAGUCUGGAGUGUCAGGGCAUGAUUAAUAACAAGGGCACAAAGAGGAGUGAGGUAGUUUUGACAAAAACAAACAUUGUUCUGAACUUGCUAGUUUUGAGACAUCUCUAAAUAGAAAGAAGCCUCGUCUGAGUGGCAGACUGAACUGCAGGUCUUUUAAGUGUUUUUAAAGUCCUUGAUAUAAUAUGCUUUGUCAUCCUCCUGUAUAUGUCAAGACUUUACCUAACAAGCCAAGGCCAGUUCAGUAGUCAACAUAAGUAGACUAAGAGUUAUAACUUACUAGCUUCCUCUUGCCUAAACAGAAAAAAAUCCUGCUACAGAUGGUGACUUUCAUUGUACUGUGAGCAAAUACUUAGAAAAGUAACCAGGGCUUGCAGCACAACAAAGUGGUUUAUUAAGUGUUGAGGAGCUUGGAUAUUGAGCU